CCUACGGGAGGCAGCAGUGAGGAAUAUUGGUCAAUGGGCGGAAGCCUGAACCAGCCAAGUAGCGUGCGGGAUGAAGGCCCUACGGGUCGUAAACCGCUUUUGCACGGGGAUAACACCCUCCACGCGUGGGGGUCUGCAGGUACCGUGCGAAUAAGGGCCGGCUAAUUCCGUGCCAGCAGCCGCGGUAAUACGGAAGGUCCGAGCGUUAUCCGGAUUUAUUGGGUUUAAAGGGGGCGUAGGCGGACGCUUAAGUCAGCGGUAAAAUCGCGGGGCUCAACCGCGCCGCGCCGUUGAAACUGGGCGCCUUGAGUUCGCGAGAAGCAGGCGGAAUUCGUGGUGUAGCGGUGAAAUGCAUAGAUAUCACGAAGAACCCCGAUUGCGAAGGCAGCGUACCGGGGUGCAACUGACGCUGAAGCUCGAAGGUGCGGGUAUCGAACAGGAUUAGAUACCCGUGUAGUC
rnacentral:rRNA from 1 species